rnacentral:miRNA from 1 species
AAGGGACCUGAAUGAACUUUUUG